UACGUAGGGUGCGAGCGUUGUCCGGAAUUAUUGGGCGUAAAGGGCUCGUAGGCGGUUUGUCGCGUCGGGAGUGAAAACAUCCAGCUUAACUGGGUGCUUGCUUUCGAUACGGGCAGACUAGAGGUAGGUAGGGGAGAAUGGAAUUCCCGGUGUAGCGGUGAAAUGCGCAGAUAUCGGGAGGAACACCGGUGGCGAAGGCGGUUCUCUGGACAGUUCCUGACGCUGAGGCACGAAGGCCAGGGGAGCAAACGGGG
rnacentral:rRNA from 1 species